rnacentral:rRNA from 1 species
AACGAACGCUGGCGGCAUGCCUAACACAUGCAAGUCGAACGAGACCUUCGGGUCUAGUGGCGCACGGGUGCGUAACGCGUGGGAACCUGCCCUUAGGUUCGGAAUAACUCCCCGAAAGGGGUGCUAAUACCGGAUAAUGUCUUCGGACCAAAGAUUUAUCGCCUUUGGAUGGGCCCGCGUUGGAUUAGCUGGUUGGUAGGGUAAAAGCCUACCAAGGCGACGAUCCAUAGCUGGUCUGUGAGGAUGAUCAGCCACACUGGGACGGGGACGCGGCCCGGACUCCUCCGGAAGGCGGCAGAGGGUAAUGGUGCAAAGCGGCGGAAGUCAUGAAGGUCUUCGGCCCGGAGAGUUAUGAUAUUAGGGGGGUAGAAAUGUUUUUUUACCCGUGCACAAAAUGACGGUACCGAAUCAGAAAGCCCCGGCUAACUCCGUG